UAAUGAGAAUAGAAUGAAAAAAAUUCCAAGCCUAAAUAGCUUCUCUGAGGAAGAUAAUAGAGAGAACAGGGGGAAGGGCAGUCUUCAAGGAGACACCAGACGGCAGGGGAGAGGCAGUCUUCAAGGAGACACCAGAUGGCAGGGGAUGGUGAUUUGUCAUUUUCAGACCUGACAGCUUGGAACAUACAGAGAAACACAGGGAGCCUGAAUGCUUCACUGCCUGAGGGAGUGCCUCGGUUUCCAGGAACUAUAAACUCUAGUCGGCAAAACCUAUUACGCAUGCCUCUCAAGGCAGUUAGGCUAGACCAGCUCCAUGACUCCCCAGAGACUAUAGUCUAAGACUGCCCCUCCUCAGAUGUCCUCUACUGAGAUUAGCUGACCCAUCUCCUCAUUUGGCUGUAUACAAUAAACAUGUUGAGUUUCCCUGA